CUGGCUGUAGCUCAAUGGCAGAGCAAGUGGAUUCCUACCCCAUGGAUCCUGGUUCGAUUCCAGGCAGCCAGA